UACGAAGGGGGCUAGCGUUGCUCGGAAUCACUGGGCGUAAAGCGCACGUAGGCGGCUUUUUAAGUCAGAGGUGAAAUCCUGGAGCUCAACUCCAGAACUGCCUUCGAUACUGGCAAUCUUGAGUCCGGGAGAGGUGAGUGGAACUCCGAGUGUAGAGGUGAAAUUCGUAGAUAUUCGGAAGAACACCAGUGGCGAAGGCGGCUCACUGGCCCGGUACUGACGCUGAGGUGCGAAAGCGUGGGGAGCAAACAGG
rnacentral:rRNA from 1 species